rnacentral:rRNA from 1 species
UGUAAGCGUAUACCAACGUUGUUGCAGUUAAAACGCUCGUAGUCGGAAUUUGGCAGUUCCGGAUGUGUGCACGUCGUGUGCGCACUUCGCGGGGAUUGCUUUUGUGGUCUUGCGUAGGAUGAGGCACUUUUAUUAGUGAACGUCCUCACGCAACCACUUUUUACUGUGAGAAAAUCAGAGUGCUCAAAGCAGGCAUUUGCCGUGAAUGUAUUAGCAUGGAAUAAUAGAAUAGGACUUGGUUCUAUUUUGUUGGUUUGUUGGGACUGAGUAAUGAUUAAGAGGGACAGUUGGGGGCAUUUGUAUUUCGGUGCUAGAGGUGAAAUUCUUAGAUUACCGAAAGACAAACUGCUGCGAAAGCGUCUGCCAAGGAUGUUUUCAUUGA